CAAAAUGGAGACGCUGGAAAUUAGCCAGUAGCGCUGGAGUGGAAGCGUUUGAUAAAUAUAAUUGGAUAUUUUCCAUUACAGGCAAUGAACCAAGUAACUGUUAUAACGCUGGUAGUAAAUAUAAAAAUGCAACUUUGAUGAAUAAAGUCGAAGUCAUGUAUGUUGUUUCGACCCUGGAUGGCAAAGGUCAUAGUUCGUGACCCCGUACCGCCGGAGCAUUGAUGAUGGUUAAGGUUUUUUUUUUCUCCUUCCUCUCUGUCGCCCCACGCGCCGCCAUCCCCCCUCCCUCCUCUGCGCAAGCCAGACGGCGGUGACGUCAUUGUGUCUGAAUAUUUAUUUAUAUAUUUAUUUGCAUAUUUCUUCAAUAAUGCUAAGCAAUAAUAUCACAUUAAUGUUUGCAAAGUUCAAUGUCUUGUAUGUUAAAAUAUCUCACAUUUUUAAAUGCCACUUGAAUAAAUUCAGAUUUUUUUUAAA